CUCCUUGAAGAUGGUCCGACCUCCAGUUCAUCUAUCGAAGGAUAGUAAUACUACUACUGCUGCAACUAUCUUGUUGUAUCGCUCUGCUUCCAUAUGCAAAACAAUGCAUUAACCUGUUCUUUUUUUGCGGGAAAAAUAAUGCGUUGAUCAAUGUAUUCUGCAUUCCUGAUUGUCAUAUGUUUCAAAUUCAUAAGAUUAGCUAUAUGAAAGCCACGGUGCAUAUAAUGUUCGUUUCAUUUCUUAGCGCAGUAGCUCUGGUAUGAAAGACUGACGAACAUGGGUGAAUAAGCUGGGAGGAACGGACAGCACAGUGACAAUGGGUAGGUGCAACCUUCGGAGAAAAGUGUGUCAAGGCAGCAAUUAUAGUUGGUAACAUGAGCUGCCCCAGUCGCAUGGCAGUGUUCUGGCCAAGAUGGUACGGCACAUAGUUGCUCGCCUAAAUGAAGGGAAUGUUGAUCUGGUCCCUCACGGAGACACUGGAGGAGAUGGUGUGCUCAACCUGAGUUCGCCUUCAGCAUCCUCCUACAGUUUGACAAGUCCAUGAGUGCCACGCCUACAGCCCCAGGUCAAGAGCAAUGCCUUCUUCAAGGUGCCAACCAAAAUGACACCUCUCCACACAUUUAUCACUAUAUUGUACAGAGAACCAAGUGCCCUGACCUAUGCUAUAAAGAGAUCAUGUGAAAACAAAGCUGAAGUUGUUGCUCAGGAUGAGAAGGAAAG